rnacentral:rRNA from 1 species
AAGUCGAGCGGCAAGCCGUAGCAAUACGGCCGAGAGCGGCGGACUGGUGAGUAACGCGUGGGCGACCUGCCCCAAGGCUGGGGAUAGCCGUUAGAAAUAGCGGGUAAUACCGAAUGUGGUUGUCUCUGAAAGACGAGGCAAAGAAAGGGGCUCAGGCCCCGCCUUGGGAUGGGCCCGCGUCCCAUUAGCUAGUUGGGGGUGUAACGGACCACCAAGGCGAUGAUGGGUAGCCGGCCUGAGAGGGUGAACGGCCACACUGGGACUGAGAUACGGCCCAGACUCCUACGGGAGGCAGCAGCUAAGAAUAUUCCGCAAUGGGCGAAAGCCUGACGGAGCGACGCCGCGUGGAUGACGAAGGCCGAAAGGUUGUAAAAUCCUUUUGCUGCGGAAGAAUAAGGCGGGGAGGGAAUGCCCUGUCGAUGACGCGAAGCGGCGAAUAAGCCCCGGCUAAUUACGUGCCAGCAGCCGCGGUAACACGUAAGGGGCGAGCGUUGUUCGGAAUUAUUGGGCGUAAAGGGCGCGUAGGCGGCGGCGUAAGCCCGGCGUGAAAUCUAUCGGCUUAACCGGUACAUGGCGCUGGGAACUGUGCGGCUUGAGUCAUGGAGGGGCAGUUGGAAUUCCGCGUGUAGGGGUGAAAUCUGUAGAUAUGCGGAAGAACACCGGUGGCGAAGGCGAACUGCUAGCCAAUGACUGACGCUGAGGCGCGAAAG